rnacentral:rRNA from 1 species
UACGUAGGGUGCGAGCGUUGUCCGGAAUUACUGGGCGUAAAGAGCUCGUAGGUGGUUUGGCGCGUUGUUCGUGAAAUCUCACGGCUUAACUGUGAGCGUGCGGGCGAUACGGGCAGACUUGAGUACUGCAGGGGAGACUGGAAUUCCUGGUGUAGCGGUGGAAUGCGCAGAUAUCAGGAGGAACACCGGUGGCGAAGGCGGGUCUCUGGGCAGUAACUGACGCUGAGGAGCGAAAGCGUGGGGAGCGAACAGG